rnacentral:rRNA from 1 species
AGUGAACGCUGGCGGUAGGCCUAACACAUGCAAGUCGAACGGCAGCACAGUAAGAGUUUGCUCUUACGGGUGGCGAGUGGCGGACGGGUGAGGAAUACAUCGGAAUCUACUUUUUCGUGGGGGAUAACGUAGGGAAACUUACGCUAAUACCGCAUACGACCUACGGGUGAAAGCAGGGGAUCUUCGGACCUUGCGCGAUUGUAUGAGCCGAUGUCGGAUUAGCUAGUUGGCGGGGUAAAGGCCCACCAAGGCGACGAUCCGUAGCUGGUCUGAGAGGAUGAUCAGCCACACUGGAACUGAGACACGGUCCAGACUCCUACGGGAGGCAGCAGUGGGGAAUAUUGGACAAUGGGCGCAAGCCUGAUCCAGCCAUACCGCGUGUGUGAAGAAGGCCUUCGGGUUGUAAAGCCCUUUUGUUGGGGAAGAAAAGCAGCAGGUUAAUACCCCGCUGUUCUGACGGUACCCAAAGAAUAAGCACCGGCUAACUUCGUG